rnacentral:rRNA from 1 species
GGCUAACGCUGGCGGCGUGUCUUAGCCAUGCAAGUCGAGCGGACUUAUGGGGUAACUUAUAAGUCAGCGGCGGACGGCGGAGUAACACGUAGCUAACCUACCCUCUGGACGGGGAUAACCUACCGAAAGGUGGGCUAAUACCCGAUGUAGUCAUCCUGUAUAGGGGUGAUGAAAGGUGGGCUUCUGUUUACAAGCUCAUGCUGGAGGAGGGGGCUGCGGCCUAUCAGGUAGUUGGUAGGGUAAUAGCCUACCAAGCCGAUGACGGGUAGCCGGCCUGAGAGGGUGACCGGCCCGAGGGGCACUGAGAGACGGGCCCUACUCCUACGGGAGGCAGCAGUGGGGGAUUUUGGACAAUGGGCGAAAGCCUGAUCCAGCGACGCCGCGUGGAGGACGAAGCCCUUCGGGGUGUAAACUCCUUUUCUCAGGGAAAAGGAUGAUGGUACCUGAGGAAUAAGCCCGGCUAACUACGUG